rnacentral:tRNA from 1 species
GUGGGUGUAGCCCAGCGGUCUAAGGCGUCAGGUUGUGGCCCUGAAGAUCGAGGGUUCAAAUCCCUCCACCCACCCCA